AUUUUUAAGGAGGGAAAACAAUAACUUAUUUUGCAAUAUAAUUUAACAAUUUAGUAUAUUCAGGGAUAGAGUCCAUAUAUCCUUGAUAUAAAAUCUAAACCCAGUUUCUUGUAUCACACUAACAUAGCCAUACCAUACCUUCCAUGCUUAUUUCUCUGUCAUUUAGUGUGCAUAACAACAACGAUUCAAGCUUUUCGUGAAGAAAAAUCCUCAGUAGGAUGCUGGCCAGUAGUGUUCGGUCUUGUCCACAUACAUGUGAUAAAGCAUAGACUACAUGAAGUUCCUUUUGCAGUAUAAGCUAAAAUGACAUUUUAAAAGAUUGUUUAAAGUACAUAGCAUUAUAAGCAUGCUCCAUGAGACUAACAAGAAAUAUGUUAUUUCACAAGUUCUUAUAUUUAAAAUGAUGUCCCAUUGAAUAAAUUUAUUUAAAAUAGAAUGAAUUCGUAGUCUACCUAUUUCUACCAAAAUUACAGUAUAAAACAAGGUUUUAAAUCUUUGGCAUCAGUGUGCUACUAAGCUAUGAAUUACUAUGUUUACCUUAAUGGAUCUUUUAUUAAAUGUUAAAUGUUUCUGUUAAUUCCAACAAAAACAAGACUGAUAAACAAUUUAAUACCUCUUUAAAUUCACUGUACUCUUCUUCUGGCAUGAUUUUUUCCAUAGAGUAUCGUGCUCGAACACGCAGGGACCCUGGUUCAAUACCUUUUAAUGGUAUAUGGGAGCUGAGCAGAAACCAUUCAUCUGUGGCAUGCCCUUUCUGUAAUCGGCUCAACUGGCAGCGCAUAAAUACUUGGGAAGAAAAACAAGCAAUUAUUGUUUAAAAAGAUAACAUGAUAAUUAGUCAUGCAAGUAAAUUUUCCUGGUGUUCAGUCUUCCCUAUGGUGUUAAAUGCUUUUCAUUAAAGGAGUUUUCAGUAACAUCACAAA
rnacentral:antisense_RNA from 1 species